rnacentral:rRNA from 1 species
UGAGGAAUAUUGGACAAUGGGCGAAAGCCUGAUCCAGCCAUGCCGCGUGUGUGAAGAAGGCCCUCGGGUUGUAAAGCACUUUCAGUGGGGAAGAAAGCCUUGGGAUUAAUACUCCCGAGGAAGGACAUCACCCACAGAAGAAGCACCGGCUAACUCCGUGCCAGCAGCCGCGGUAAUACGGAGGGUGCGAGCGUUAAUCGGAAUUACUGGGCGUAAAGCGCGCGUAGGCGGUCUGAUAAGCCGGUUGUGAAAGCCCCGGGCUCAACCUGGGAACGGCAUCCGGAACUGUCAUGCUAGAGUGCAGGAGAGGAAGGUAGAAUUCCCGGUGUAGCGGUGAAAUGCGUAGAGAUCGGGAGGAAUACCAGCGGCGAAGGCGGCCUUCUGGACUGACACUGACGCUGGGUGCGAAAGCGUGGGUAGCAAACA